rnacentral:rRNA from 1 species
UCUACGGGAGGCAGCAGUAGGGAAUCUUCCACAAUGGACGAAAGUCUGAUGGAGCAACGCCGCGUGAGUGAAGAAGGAUUUCGGUUCGUAAAACUCUGUUGCAAGGGAAGAACAAGUAGCGUAGUAACUGGCGCUACCUUGACGGUACCUUGUUAGAAAGCCACGGCUAACUACGUGCCAGCAGCCGCGGUAAU